GGAACUGAAUACACCCAGAGUAACCCUGGAACCAGCCAGCCCAGAGACACCUGGGGAGAGGCACACAACAGCAGGAGCCCCAAGAACCAUGGAGCUGGCGCCAAGGCACUGAGCCUCCUUCCAGGAGCACGGGGAAAAGCAUGAGGGCCACAGCACCUGCGCCCCCAGGUCUUCAGCACAUGCCAUUUGUGGGGCAGUUAUCUGGGUGCAAGCCCACCCUUUGCUCCUCUUGGGGGCAGAAACUGUUUUUACAGCCUUCCCAGUGCCCAGUCAAGGGCAUUGCACCAAGAAAGUUCCCAGUACGGGGUGAAGACUGAUUUUACAGCCUUCCCAGUGCCCAGUCAAGGGCAUUGCACCAAGAAAGUUGCCAGUACGGGGUGAAGACUGAUGAACACGUGUCCUCUGCACUCUGGUUGCCCAGGGCGCCCCGGGCUGAAAAGCAGGUGAGGCCUGCGAGAACAAGGCUUGUGAGUACCAUGAUCUAGGGGUCCCCUCACCUGUGCCUGCCUGCCACUUCCUGUGGAUACAAUGAGACAUCCCGUUACCACCUUCCUAGGAGGCUUCCAAUGGUGCCACCUUUCAUUACUCUCCACUGUGUGGGCUCAGCUUCUGAGCCUGGCCUUCUGGGAGCUCCAGUCUCCUUUCCGUGCAUCCUGCCCCUCCUGCCCAAGAAAGCCCAGGCUGUCGCCCUCCUAGCUCACUGCCACCUUUGCACACUCUACCCCUCCUCCCUGAAUCUCCCCUUGCUCCAACUCACACCAUCUCCAAACUCCGAUUUCACCCCCAGCUGCGCCAUGCAGUGGAACAUUUAAUUGUUCUAUUUCCUGGGUCCUGGUUUCCAAUUAUACUAUUAAAGUCUUGAGAACGGGGGAUCUCUUUUAGCCUCGUAGUACUUGGCACAAUGCUGGUCACAUAACAAGUAGUCAGUGACUACUUAUUGAUUAAUGGGUGAAUUUAAUCUUACUAUAAUACAGUUAACCUGGCAUACUGAUUUAGGUUUUUCCCCUGAUAUCAGCUAGGGGUCAUAUGGAUACUGGCUUGCCCGUGUGCUAGAACUGGGCACUGGGAUGAAGGAAUUACUUCAACAUGUGUUUGGAUAGUUCUACCCACCUUUUGCAAGGAGGUUGGUUUGUGCGUCUGCAACGACCUAGUCAAUGGCCUAGUUGCACCACCAUCUUCCUGGUGCUUGUUCUGAUGCACCCUGACAGCUGUCUCCACAAGACUUCCUUCCUCUUGGGAAAGAAAGUCAUCAUUCCAGGGGAAAGGGGCCACAUGGGCAAUUAGGAAGCAAAUGUGGCUUUUCAUUCCUGACGUACCAGGUGAAGUUCAAAUGUUACCUUCCGUCCUUACCGAAAAGGUGAAAGAAUUUCCUGUGAAGUUUGGACACAGAAGGCUGUUCAAAACCAAGUGGGAUCUGGGGUAAGGUGGGCUCAACCACAUCCCAUCAAAGUGAUUUAGUUUCUCAAGGACCAAAAGAAAUUUAGGACAUAAUGAUCACACUUAUAAUGGGACUCCAUGACCUGGACUCUGAGAGGAAGGCAUUUUAGCAAGGCCCCAGAGCAAUUAUAUUUGACUGUCAACACCAUACUCAAUCGGUCUGUUAAACUUGUUUCAAGAUUCCUAACGGAUCCAGUAAUAUCUGUGUGCAAAGACCAGGGUGCGUUUACACUUGCCACUCUCAGCUGUAACUGACGGGAGCCAGAACAGCAUCCUCUCGUCCGGCCCCCACGCCUCUUACACUGGACUAGAAGACGUGUUUUGUGUGCCUUCCACACCUCUCCCGGCAACACCCACUCAGAAGCGGGCAAUACACCUGCAAAGCAGACAGCUCUCAUGACUCCUAAUUCUAACUGGGAGGAAUUGGGUUUGGCCAGGGAAGAAAGGCCAGUCACUCAAAGUCUGCAGAAGAAUUAUGUUCUAGAAAUAG
rnacentral:lncRNA from 10 species